rnacentral:rRNA from 1 species
UAUCUCUGUAGAGUCUGCAUAUCAAUAAGCGGAGGAAAAGAAACUAACAAGGAUUCCCUUAGUAACGGCGAGUGAAGCGGGAAGAGCUCAAAUUUGAAAUCUUCAAGGUUCUACCUUGACGAAUUGUAGUUUAAAGAAGUGUUUUCUGUUAGAUGAGUAGCAAAAGUUCCUUGGAAUGGGACAUCAUAGAGGGUGAGAAUCCCGUAUUUGACGUUAUUCAUUCUAGCCUGUGUGAUACACUUUCAAAGAGUCGGAUUGUUUGGGAAUGCAGUCCAAAAUGGGUGGUAAAUUUCAUCUAAAGCUAAAUAUUGGCGAGAGACCGAUAGCGAACAAGUACCGUGAGGGAAAGAUGAAAAGAACUUUGAAAAGAGAGUUAAACAGUACGUGAAAUUGUCAAAAGGGAAGCGUUUGACACCAGUGUUGUUUUUCCGAAAAUCAAUUACGAAUGGCUUGAUUUUGUGUUGUAUUGACCUUAUCAGCUUUCUGCACUUUUUUCGAGUUUUUCUUAAUGCACUUUUUGGUUAACAAGUCAACAUCAAUUUCUUUUGUUGUAAAAGAGUAUUCGGAAGGUGGCUUUCUUUUCGGAGAAAGUGUUUAUAGCCCUAUACUUCUACAAUCGGAGAGAUUGAGGUCUGCAGCGUAGAUCCUCCGGGGUUAGAUACAUUUGUGCUAAGUUGUAGCUUUUCAUAGACAACUUGUUGACUAUGUUUAGUCAUGCGGCUUACUCGCUUAUGCUAUUUUACCUACGCUUAGGAUGUUGACUGAUAUGUAGUCGUA